rnacentral:rRNA from 1 species
CAGCAGCCGCGGUAAUACGAAGGGGGCUAGCGUUGCUCGGAAUUACUGGGCGUAAAGGGCGCGUAGGCGGAUGAUUAAGUCGAGGGUGAAAGCCCGGGGCUCAACCUCGGAACUGCCUUUGAUACUGGUCAUCUUGAGUACGGGAGAGGUGUGUGGAACUCCGAGUGUAGAGGUGAAAUUCGUAGAUAUUCGGAAGAACACCAGUGGCGAAGGCGACACACUGGCCCGUUACUGACGCUGAGGCGCGAAAGCGUGGGGAGCAAACAGGAUUAGAUACCCCUGUAGUCCCUGUCUCUUAUAC